rnacentral:rRNA from 1 species
AUUGAACGCUGGCGGCAGGCUUAACACAUGCAAGUCGAGCGAGCGGCGGACGGGUGAGUAAUGUCUGGGAAACUGCCUGAUGGAGGGGGAUAACUACUGGAAACGGUAGCUAAUACCGCAUACCCUCAGAUGUGCCCAGAUGGGAUUAGCUAGUAGGUGGGGUAAUGGCUCACCUAGGCGACGAUCCGUAACUGGUCUGAGAGGAUGAUCAUUCACACUGGAACUGAGAAACGGGCCAGACUCCUACGGGAGGCAGCAGUGGGGAAUAUUGGACAAUGGGCGAAAGCCUGAUCCAGCCAUGCCGCGUGUGUGAAGAAGGUCUUCGGAUUGUAAAGCACUUUAAGUUGGGAGGCGUUACCAACAGAAUAAGCACCGGCUAACUCCGUGCCAGCAGCCGCGGUAAUUC